UGCGUAGGCGGAACCUUAAGUCAGUGGUAAAAGGCAUUAGCUUAACUAAUGUAAGCCAUUGAAACUGGGAUUCUUGAGUUCGGUAGAGGUAGGCGGAAUGUGUUGUGUAGCGGUGAAAUGCAUAGAUAUAACACAGAACACCGAUUGCGAAGGCAGCUUACUAUGCCGUUACUGACGCUGAUGCACGAAAGCGUGGGUAUCAAACAGGAUUAGAUACCCUGGUAGUCC
rnacentral:rRNA from 1 species